GCGGAGGGAGUUCGUAGAAUGGUUUAUUUACAUUAAACUGGUUGGGUUCGUA
rnacentral:tRNA from 1 species